rnacentral:rRNA from 1 species
UACGAAGGGUGCAAACGUUGCUCGGAGUCAUUGGGCGUAAAGCGCACGUAGGCGGCUCUGCAAGUCGGAUGUGAAAUCCCUCGGCUCAACCGAGGACGUGCAUCCGAAACUGCGGAGCUUGAGUAUGGAAGAGGGUCGCGGAAUCCCCGGUGUAGAGGUGAAAUUCGUAGAUAUCGGGGGGAACACCAGUGGCGAAGGCGGCGACCUGGGCCAAUACUGACGCUGAGGUGCGAAAGCGUGGGGAGCAAACAGG